GGAGGGGGCAAGCGUUGUUCGGAAUUACUGGGCGUAAAGGGCACGCAGGCGGUCUUGCCAGUCAGGGGUGAAAGCCCGAGGCUCAACCUCGGAACUGCCUCUGAUACUGUAAGACUUGAGACUAGGAGAGGGUGGUGGAAUUCCCAGUGUAGAGGUGAAAUUCGUAGAUAUUUGGAAGAACACCAGUGCGAAGGCGGCUUACUGGACCGGUAUUGACGCUGAUGUGCGAAAGCGUGGGGAGCGAACAGGAUUAGAUACCCUGGUAGUCCACGCCGUAAACGUAGAGUGCUAGUUGUCGGGGUUCGCCUCGGUGACGCAGCUAACGCGUUAAGCACUCCGCCUGGGGAGUACGCGCGCAAGGUUAAAACUCAAAGGAAUUGACGGGGG
rnacentral:rRNA from 1 species